GGGGAACUCACCUAACCUUCCCGAGCCUUCGUUUCCUACUCUGCAAAAUGGAGAUAACAAGUCUGCAUUUUAUUAUGUAACUACGUCCUAAGGCACCGCCCCCUGCUCCCGCGGCAGCUCCUGGAGCGCGGACCUGGACAAGUGCAUGGACUGCGCGUCUUGCAGGGCGCGACCGCACAGCGACUUCUGCCUGGGCUGCGCUGCAGCACCUCCUGCCCCCUUCCGGCUGCUUUGGCCCAUCCUUGGGGGCGCUCUGAGCCUGACCUUCGUGCUGGGGCUGCUUUCUGGCUUUUUGGUCUGGAGACGAUGCCGCAGGAGAGAGAAGUUCACCACCCCCAUAGAGGAGACCGGCGGAGAGGGCUGCCCAGCUGUGGCGCUGAUCCAGUGACAAUGUGCCCCCUGCCAGCCGGGGCUCGCCCACUCAUCAUUCAUUCAUCCAUUCUAGAGCCAGUCUCUGCCUCCCAGACGCGGCGGGAGCCAAGCUCCUCCAACCACAAGGGGGGUGGGGGGCGGUGAAUCACCUCUGAGGCCUGGGCCCAGGGUUCAGGGGAACCUUCCAAGGUGUCUGGUUGCCCUGCCUCUGGCUCCAGAACAGAAAGGGAGCCUCACGCUGGCUCACACAAAACAGCUGACACUGACUAAGGAACU
rnacentral:lncRNA from 10 species